rnacentral:lncRNA from 1 species
AGGGCGCCGGAGUGUCGGUGCGGUUGGUCCUUUAGGAACCCGCGGGAAAGAUAAAAAGCCAAGCUCUGAACUCUGGUUGGCGUCCUGUGUUAAGACCCCACUUCCUUUUUUCUCUGAGACCUGCAGACGGACGGGAUAGUGUUGAAGUGAAUUUUUGUGACGAAGCUUAGUUUUCAGCUAAGCUAAAAGUAAGCUGAGAGGAAUUGUUUCUUUAAGAAGCUUUGGAAAACGUGUUUCCCCCAAUGUGGUGCCUGGAAGGAAGGAGUUGCUACUGUUACUUUGAGCCACUCCCUGACGCUGUCAGAGAUUCUAAAGAAAAUAAUACAGAGCGAGCCACUGCAUGUAACCUGAGUAACACUGUCUAGGCUGAGUGCCCACAAACAGAAGUUAAUAUUAGCUACCACUCCUAGGAGAAUGAGGUUGGCCUAGUUGAAUUUGACGAGUUUGACUAUAAUGUGACCAAGGAGGAUAUCAUAAAUCAUGGCAUUUGAAGAACAUCCUGAGUUCAAAGGCGCCCGGAAACCGAGGCUUCAGUCCUGACUCUGCUGCUAACUGGGAAGAUGAUCAACUGUAAAAGCCAUACAACCUUCCUAAGCCCUAAUUUCCACAUCUGAGGAACGGAGGACUUGGAAUUAGAUAGUCAGUGAAUUCCCUUCCAGAACCAUGACAAAUACAGGAAGGCAACAGAGGAGGCUUUCAUGGACCUUUCAUGACAGUGAUCAACUCAACUCUGAGCAUCUCCAAAGCCAAUGUCUUUACACACAGAAAAUUUAAAAGAUUUGACUUCAGUAAAGACAAGUUGUGUUAAGUCCUUUCUACACUACGCUGGUCAAGUCUCAUCUGGAGAACCGAGCUCAUUUCUGGGGACUGAUUUAAUGAGAGCAUCGUUGUCCUAGAGAGCACCAGGAUGUCUGUGGAUAACAUGGAAGAAAGGGCUUAAGGAGAUUGCUGAAACUGAGGGCCGGGCUUGGAUCCUCACUGGGAUGCUCGCAUUCAGCACAUGCCAUGUUAUACUGCAAGGCACACCAUUGACAUGCAGCACACCUCCCGGAACAUCAGGUUUCUCUGAUGAUAAGAAAUAUAAUAAUAAUUAUUAUUUUAAAUUAUUUUAUUGAAGUCAUUUUUGCUUAUAAUAUAAU